rnacentral:tRNA from 1 species
GCGCUGGUAGCUCAGCUGGAUAGAGCAUUUCUUUGCGGAAGAAAAGGUCGCAGGUUCGAAUCCUGCUCAGCGCA